rnacentral:ncRNA from 1 species
UCUUAUCAUGAGAGGUGGAGGGACUGGCCCUUUGAAGCCUCGGCAACAAGUUCUGGUUUUUAACCAGAUACACUGUGCCAAUUCCAGCAGGUUCCAUUGGGAUCUGGAAGAUAAGA